rnacentral:ncRNA from 1 species
AUAGUAUAUUGUGGAUUGUAGUCUGAAACUCGACUACAUGAAUUAGAAAUUACUAGUAAUCGUGUAUCACUACGUCACGGUGAAUUUUGCAUCGGAUGGGUACUAACCACUCGUCAGGCGCCGAAAGGGGCAUGCGCAAAAAGUUUGGUUGUGUAUAAAUUUAGUAAUUUCUAAUUCAUGUAGUCGAGUUUCAGACUACAAUCCACAAUAUACUAUAUCCACUUUUAAAGAUUAGCUCCAUUUCGCAAUAUAGCUUCUCUUUGUAGAGGCGUAUGCAGCACGUCUAUA